GAUGAACGCUGGCGGCGUGCCUAAUACAUGCGAGUCGAGCGAACAGACGAGGAGCUUGCUCCUCUGACGUUAGCGGCGGACGGGUGAGUAACACGUGGAUAACCUACCUAUAAGACUGGGAUAACUUCGGGAAACCGGAGCUAAUACCGGAUAACAUGUUGAACCGCAUGGUUCAACAGUGAAGGACGGUCUUGCUGUCACUUAUAGAUGGAUCCGCGCCGCAUUAGCUAGUUGGUAAGGUAACGGCUUACCAAGGCAACGAUGCGUAGCCGACCUGAGAGGGUGAUCGGCCACACUGGAACUGAGACACGGUCCAGACUCCUACGGGAGGCAGCAGUAGGGAAUCUUCCGCAAUGGGCGAAAUCCUGACGGAGCAACGCCGCGUGAGUGAAGAAGGUCUUCGGAUCGUAAAACUCUGUUAUUAGGGAAGAACAAAUGUGUAAGUAACUAUGCACGUCUUGACGGUACCUAAUCAGAAAGCCACGGCUAACUACGU
rnacentral:rRNA from 1 species